ACUUUCGGACAGAAGAAAUCGCAUGGACUAAUACUCUGUGUGGAUGACGGUACUGUAAGAAGAAGCACCGGCUAACUACGUGCCAGCAGCCGCGGUAAUACGUAGGUGCGAGCGUUAAUCGGAAUUACUGGGCGUAAAGCGUGCGCAGGCGGAUAUUUAAGUCAGACGUGAAAUCCCCGGGCUUAACCUGGGAAUGGCGUUUGAAACUGGAUGUCUAGAGUGUGGCAGAGGGGGGUGGAAUUCCACGUGUAGCAGUGAAAUGCGUAGAGAUGUGGAGGAACACCGAUGGCGAAGGCAGCCCCCUGGGCUAACACUGACGCUCAUGCACGAAAGCGUGGGGAGCAAACAGGAUUAGAUACCCUGGUAGUCCACGCCCUAAACGAUGUCAACUGGCUGUUGGGAGCGCAAGUUCUUAGUAGCGAAGCUAACGCGUGAAGUUGACCGCCUGGGGAGUACGGCCGCAAGGUUGAAAACUCAAAGGAAUUGACGGGGGC
rnacentral:rRNA from 1 species